UACAGAGGGGGCAAGCGUUAUUCGGAAUUAUUGGGCGUAAAGGGCGCGUAGGCGGCUUGGCAAGUGGAAGGUGAAAUCCCUCGGCUUAACCGAGGAACUGCCCUCCAAACUGCUUGGCUUGAGUCCGGGAGAGGUGAGUGGAAUUCCCAGUGUAGCGGUGAAAUGCGUAGAUAUUGGGAGGAACACCAGUGGCGAAGGCAGCUCACUGGACCGGAACUGACGCUGAGGCGCGAAAGCUAGGGGAGCAAACAGG
rnacentral:rRNA from 1 species